UACGUAGGUGGCAAGCGUUAUCCGGAAUUAUUGGGCGUAAAGCGCGCGCAGGUGGUUUCUUAAGUCUGAUGUGAAAGCCCACGGCUCAACCGUGGAGGGUCAUUGGAAACUGGGAAACUUGAGUGCAGAAGAGGAAAGUGGAAUUCCAUGUGUAGCGGUGAAAUGCGUAGAGAUCCGGAAGAACACCGGUGGCGAAGGCGGUCUGCUGGGCCAAGACUGACGCUGAGGCGCGACAGCGUGGGGAGCAAACAGG
rnacentral:rRNA from 1 species